UACGAAGGGGGCUAGCGUUGCUCGGAAUCACUGGGCGUAAAGGGCGCGUAGGCGGCCCGUCAAGCGUGUGGUGAAAGCCCCGGGGCUCAACUCCGGGUCGGCCAUGCGAACUAGCGGGCUCGAGCACUGUAGAGGUCGGUAGAAAUUCCGGGUGUAGCGGUGGAAUGCGUAGAGAUCCGGAAGAAUACCAGUGGCGAAGGCGGCCGACUGGGCAGUUGCUGACGCUGAUGGCGCGACAGCGUGGGGAGCAACAGGG
rnacentral:rRNA from 1 species